rnacentral:rRNA from 1 species
UACAGAGGUCCCAAGCGUUGUUCGGAUUCAUUGGGCGUAAAGGGUGCGUAGGUGGCGCUGUAAGUCGGGUGUGAAAUUUCGGAGCUUAACUCCGAAACUGCAUUCGAUACUGCCGUGAUUGAGGACUGGAGAGGAGACUGGAAUUUACGGUGUAGCGGUGAAAUGCGUAGAUAUCGUAAGGAAGACCAGUGGCGAAGGCGGGUCUCUGGACGGUUCCUGACGCUGAGGCACGAAGGCCAGGGGAGCAAACGGG